rnacentral:tRNA from 1 species
GGUCCGAUGGCCGAGUGGUUAGGCAAGGGUCUGCAAAACCCUCUACAGCAGUUCAAAUCUGCUUCGGACCUCCA